rnacentral:rRNA from 1 species
CACGUAGGGGGCGAGCGUUGUCCGGAUUCAUUGGGCGUAAAGAGCUCGUAGGCGGCUCAGUAAGUCAGGUGUGAAAACUCCAGGCUCAACCUGGAGACGCCACCUGAUACUGCUGUGGCUAGAGUCCGGUAGGGGAGCAUGGAAUUCCUGGUGUAGCGGUGAAAUGCGCAGAUAUCAGGAGGAACACCAGUGGCGAAGGCGGUGCUCUGGGCCGGAACUGACGCUGAGGAGCGAAAGCGUGGGGAGCAAACAGG